GACGAACGCUGGCGGCGUGCUUAACACAUGCAAGUCGAACGGUAAGGCCCUUCGGGGUACACGAGUGGCGAACGGGUGAGUAACACGUGGGUGAUCUGCCCUGCACUUCGGGAUAAGCCUGGGAAACUGGGUCUAAUACCGGAUAGGACCCUGGGAUGCAUGUCCUGGGGUGGAAAGCUUUUGCGGUGUGGGAUGGGCCCGCGGCCUAUCAGCUUGUGGGUGGGGUGGUGGCCUACCAAGGCGACGACGGGUAGCCGGCCUGAGAGGGUGACCGGCCACACUGGGACUGGGAUACGGCCCAGACUCCUACGGGAGGCAGCAGUGGGGAAUAUUGCGCAAUGGGCGCAAGCCUGAUGCAGCGACGCCGCGUGAGGGAUGACGGCCUUCGGGUUGUAAACCUCGUUCAGCACCGACGAAGCGCAAGUGACGGUAGGUGCAGAAGAAGGACCGGCCAACUACGUGCCAGCCGCCGCCGUAA
rnacentral:rRNA from 1 species